UUAUGUUACAAGGAUGAGAAAAUUUUUUCAAUAUUAAUACAGUUAUCCCUGUCUUAAUAAAUCAUGUCGAGAAUUUAUAAUCUGAAGCAUUU
rnacentral:snoRNA from 1 species